rnacentral:rRNA from 1 species
GACGAACGCUGGCGGCGUGCUUAACACAUGCAAGUCGAACGGGAAGGCCCUGCUUUUGUGGGGUGCUCGAGUGGCGAACGGGUGAGUAACACGUGAGUAACCUGCCCUUGACUUUGGGAUAACUUCGGGAAACUGGGGCUAAUACCGGAUAGGAGCUCCUGCUGCAUGGUGGGGGUUGGAAAGUUUCGGCGGCUGGGGAUGGACUCGCGGCUUAUCAGCUUGUUGGUGGGGUAGUGGCUUACCAAGGCUUUGACGGGUAGCCGGCCUGAGAGGGUGACCGGCCACAUUGGGACUGAGAUACGGCCCAGACUCCUACGGGAGGCAGCAGUGGGGAAUAUUGCACAAUGGGCGGAAGCCUGAUGCAGCAACGCCGCGUGCGGGAUGACGGCCUUCGGGUUGUAAACCGCUUUCGCCUGUGACGAAGCGUGAGUGACGGUAAUGGGUAAAGAAGCACCGGCUAACUACGUG